AACCAUCUGUUUUAGGUUUUGGCAAAGAAUUUGAUUUCUUCACCUUACGGUUUUUCCCUUUUUUCUUACGGUUCGAAGCACCAAGUAUCUCUUUGUUUUGCUUUGGUAAGGAAUUCAAGUUUUCGUCCUCUAGUAGCUCAUACUUUGUACAGUCAAGAGAAAUAAUCAUGAGUAACCCCCGUAAUUUUCUUAAUAUACAAUCAGAAAGAGUAUUAACAGAUUCAAAUGAACUAAAGAAUAAUUUUUCACUAUCAGGAGGCUCGCAAACAGAAUGUGGACAUGCCAACAGCACAGUGGAGAUAUCCUCAAGCAUAAACAAACAAUCAAG
rnacentral:misc_RNA from 1 species